rnacentral:rRNA from 1 species
UUAGGUGGUUACAGCGGCAGGGUCCCACCUCUUCCCAUUCCGAACAGAGCCGUUAAGCCUGCCCGCGCCGAUGGUACUGCAAUG